GAAUCGUCCAGACGAAUCUUCCUCAAACCAACAACCACAUCUUCCUACUCAAAUUUUGAAACUAGAAAUGGUAAGUGUUAGCUCUUCCAAUACGAAGUCACGCCGAAAAUUCAAAUUUACCUACUACUUCAUCCAAUUUCUUAUCUUUCAAUCUCUUAUCAGCAGUACUAACUGCCAGGUAACUAGGCCAUGAUAAACGAGUUUUUGAAAAAUUCGCUACAGAUCACUCAAAAUGAUAACAAAUGGCGAAUGGUGGUAGUGGGGACGGAAACGGCCUUGUUAGAGUAGAAACGGUUAGGGGGUGAAUAUGGGGGAUAGAGUGCAAUUCAUCAAGGACAUCAUUCUCCCCCUUCACCAUCACCCCCUCUCCGAACCCUCCCCUAACAUAAGGCCGGUGAUCGUGUCUCGAGAAUCGCCUUCACCCCUUCACCCGCGUAGACAACGUGAGGAGACUUGGCAACGUGCCAAGUAGCGCAACUGCUGUGGGGUCAAUUGGCGAUGCACAGUGUGCUCCUCUUCACCCCCACACACAAAUCUUUUAGAAUAAAGAGAGAGAGAGAGAGAGAGAUAGAUGCAGGAUUAGGUGGUAAUUGGGAGAAAAAUACCAAACUUUGAAAAUAUCAGUAUGGGACUACAUUGAGUAAAAAGAUGAGCUAAGUUUUAGGAACAAAGUUCAUAAAUCCCUCAAAUUCCAGCUCCAAGUCAUCGAUGUGCUAAAGAUUUUCAGUCAAAGCUAAAACCAUCGAGAGGCUUAUCAAACUUCCAAAAUUUAAUUUCGAAUAUCAAGAGAAUUAGUUUCAAAAUAUUGAGCCUAACUGUCCUCAUCAGUCUCCUUUUUCUUAUGGUAAUUGGGGGCACACUAUCGGUCCCAUCUGCCUACCCAUUUUUGCUCAUCGACGACAGAUGGCUAGCAUUUUGACGUCGGUAUAUUUUUGUGAGCUAUGAGGAAAAUAUUCCAGUUUCUCAGUUGAUCUACUCUUUGGUCCAAAUCAUGAAUUAAAAACUUGAUCUAAACAUGCUAUGCUUCUCUGAAGUUUUUGAAGUUUGUCAGAACAGUUUGAUUUUAUUUGAUUUAUGUUUAGUCUUUUCCAGGCGCAAAAAAAAUUCUCACAGUUUUUGGGUACAGUUUUGAUCUUAGGAAGCUAUUAGAUUUUGUCAAAAAAGUAGAUUGAUUUCCGUUCCAUUUUCGCCCUCUUUUCAUCCCGCCAAUUAUGCAUGUCAACCACUUACCAAUCAAAUCAAAUCUAGGUCAUCCCAUGUUUUCACGGCCCAUGUAUUAUACGGUUCCUCUCUAUUGGCAAUUAAGACAUUUCAAUAUUUUAAAGUAUACAUAUAUCUAUUUUCAGCCUCCAAAGCUCCGUGCCCGUUCCACGUCUCGUUCCCGUAACGCUGUCUCAGCACCAUCAUCGGAGAAGAAAACGAAGAUGUCCAAAUCUCCAUCUCCAGCAAAAUCUGCAAGGAAGGCAUCAAAGUCUCCAGCUCGUGCUCGCACUUCAAACGUAAAGAAGACUCCAAGCCGUUCUGCUUCAAAAUCAGCGACUCGAGGCCGCACGGCUUCAAAGACUCCAAAGACUCCCAGCAAAACG
rnacentral:sRNA from 1 species